ACCUCUUUACUCAUAAGCCAGCCCGGGCAUCAUAUGACUUCAUCAGACUGCAACUUACUGUUCUCCCCUUUGCGGGGAGUGUCAAAUGCUAUAAUAGAGUUCUCCAGUCUGAGGUCAGCGAAAGCUUCUCAAAGGAGAUGAUGCCUGGCUAAAGGGACUUUCUUUCUGAGAAAGGGAUCAGCAUGUGCAAAGAUGAAGAGGCAUAAGGACUGACCAGUGGGUCACGGCAAUGAGACAUUUACUGCUGACCUCCAAGAGAAGACUUCCAUUGAAUGAGAGGAAGAUCUACACUACUAAUGAUCAAACUUACCUGGAGCAGUAUCUGACACAGAUAUGUGUUGAGUGAAUGGAUGAAUAAAUAGAUAGAAGGAAGAUCCUCCAACUAUGAAGUUUCUUCUUUUCUUCUGCUGCUGUUGAGUAGAUGAGGGUGCCAAGAAAUAAGACAGCAACACCAGGAAGAAGAACAAAUUUGGGGCACUGCUGCUGUACUGAGAAUACAGCUGUGAACAACAUCCCUGGCGCUUUCGUUCUAGAGAGGAAAAACAGGAUCUCUAAUGCCUGUCAUCUGCGCCAUGGGCUUUAGUUCAAGUGAGUCUUCCUCCUACCUUCUGUGGUAAGUAACACCACCAAAGAGAUCUGAUGUUGGGGAGGUUCCCACGUACUUCUAGGUGAUACAAAAUAGUUAUUUCCAUUCCCGGAAACCCUCCUGCAAGGAUUUCUGAAAUCAUUCUAUUGUAUGAAAUCUGUAUGUUCCUAAUUUAAAAAUAUACAAAACACCCUUCCAAGUCAUUUGAAUUAACACUAGUAUUAAGGAAGCUAAGUCUGCAUAACCAGCCCCCUGGAAAGACAGAAUGCCAUCUCCUCAAGUCUAAGUGCUGUGUAAUCAUUACUCUACAAACCAAGUGGAGAUAUUACCUAUUCUGCAAACAGCAAGCCAAGCAAAAUUCCUAGGUGCUCCCAAGGGAACAAAUCAUGCAGAGAAACUGCUCUCUGCUUCUCUCAAAAGCCUGGCUGUUCCCAGGGGCCCUAAAACUCAUUAUCCCCCUGCGGGUGAACAGCAGACUCCAGUAGUUGUAUACUUCUAGAAAGUGGAAGCAAUACAUCUAAAUGUUUUCAAAGUUUGCUCAUGACAAGGAAGGGAAGGAUGGGGACUCAAGGGGUGGGUAAGUAAAGAGUGUUAUGGACCAAGAGGGUCAGCAAAGAGGGGGCAGUAGAAAAUGUAAGGAGAGAGAAAAUUGAUAGAAACAGGUCCAGGAGCAAGUGAAAGAUUUGCUCCAGUGGAAUUAACAUGAAUAUACAUGGGGAUGGGGGGCAGCACUUGAAUUUUAGAAACAAAAAUGAAGAUGAGUAGAAAUGCAAUUUUUUAGGUAGAAAGAUAUUUCUGUCCACUGGCCUCUAUUUUCUCAGAAAAGGUGUGAGAGGGUUGAGGUUUGGAUGAAGAAGGCUUGAGGAGGAUGGAAAAUGUUUAGAAUCAAAAGUCAAUUAGAAAGGACUAAAAGGAUUUCCAAGUAGAAGUGACUGUGGCAUUAAGCUAAAAUGGCAUAGUUUAUAGUGGACUGCUUCCAGAGCAGAGGACCCGGGGUUUAGUCCAUUGCCACUGAGUUGGGUCAAGCCCUUAGACAGCUGUCUUCUGACCUGACUUUCAAACUGAAACCUACCCUUCUGUGAUCUAUCCAGGCUUCUGUGAUUUACCUACCCUCUGCUUGCAAGACAAUCCAAGGUCCUCAGCAUGACACACAGGCCUUUCCCUAACUGGCCCCCAUUUGUGUCUCCAGCAUCAGUUUUUGCCUUCUGCCAUAUUGAACUUCACUGUAGUUCCUCCAGAGCCUCAGGCCCUUUCAGUGCUGCUGGGCCUUAACCAAAGGAUUCUCCUGAAAUAUUUUUCCCUUUAAUGUCUGGGAAAUAACAUGUUUUUUUUUUUUUAAAGGCUGCCUCCUCUGAGAAGCCUUCCAGGGUCACCUUAGGUAAAACUGAUUGUCAGUCUCUCUUUUUGCCAGCCUUACCUAUGCCCUGUAUGUGCUACUGACAUCACAAGUCACUUCAUAUUUCAUCUAUUUUAAAAUGCACUUUUAUUCACAUUUUUUAAAAAUCCCUGAAAUCAGCCAGAUGUGGUAGUACAUGUUUGUAGUUGCAGCUACUCAGGAGGCUGAGGCAGGAGGAUCACUUGAGCCCAGGGCUCGAGGCUGUAGUGUUAUGUUCGCACCUGUGAAUGGCUACCACACUGCAGCCUUGGCAACACAGGCAGACCUUGUCUCAAAAUAAAAAAAAAAAAAUCCCUCAAAUUAGCAUGUAACUUAUAAUCAAUGGUGUAUCAUAGUUUAAUGACAGGAUUAAAAAAAAUUUUGGUGAUACCAAAAAAAAGUACAUCUUACAUUGGAGAGCAUUUGGUGAAAUGCAGCUUCAUUUUCUAACUUUCUAAAGUGAGUGUAGGAGUGCUUCUCAUCUUGCCUCCCACCCCACCGCCCCCGCCACCUUUGGCAGUGUCUGGAGACAUUUUUGGCUGUAUCAACUUGCGGCGAGGAAUAUGCUGCUGGCAUCUAACAGGUAGAGGCGAGAGAUGCUGCUAAACAUCCUAUAAUACACAGGACAACCCCCGACAACAAAGAAUUAGCCAGGUCAAAAUGUGAAUAGUACAGAGAUUGAGAAACCCCUACGUAGAGAAACAAUACCUAUUUGGGUAUAUAAUAGGCUUUAUUAUGUUUGAUUUUUAAAUAAAUCUUUUACAGUGUAUAGUACAACUUAAUGUAUAGCAACUUUUUCCAAACCUUGGCUUGUACAGAAUAGCAACUCUUGAGACAUAUUCUAAGCUCUCCUCAUCACCCCUCCCCAACUCCUUCUGCUAGAUGCCCCAGGGAAAUAAAAUACAGCAAUGCUCCUGGUCAAAAUCUGAAAGCCAGAA